rnacentral:piRNA from 1 species
GUGGAGAUGUGUCGGAGCCUUGA